rnacentral:lncRNA from 1 species
AAUCACAAGCACUUAACAAGGAUUCAACAUUACAAGUUCCAUUUGCUAAAUAACAAAAUAGUGGUGCCCUCUCAUUGUCAAGCAUAUUCAAAACACGAACUGGCAUCUUCUCUUUUCCAUUAGAAAUAUCAUCCAUCAAAACAUGCCCAAACACGAACUGGCAUCUUCUCUUUUCCAUUAGAAAUAUCAUCCAUCAAAACAUGCCCUCAAUUGCUUGCUAAAUCCUCAAGGUAACUGCGGUUGAUCCAAAUUUCUCUUUAACUUGAAUUUAUAGACAAGUUUACCAAAUUCUCCUCUUUCUUCCCAAAAUUUUUCAACUGUGAAAAGACCAUCAUAGACAUAUAUUGG